UGAGUAGGUCGGAUGGUCGCGGGCUUAUGCCCGAGGAAAGUCCGAGCUCCACAGGGCAGGGUGCUGGGUAAUACCCAGUGAGGGCGACCUCAAGGAAAGUGCAACAGAAAUAUACCGCCCGAUGGGAAGCUACCGCUUCCCGUUGGGUAAGGGUGGAAAGGUGAGGUAAGAGCUCACCAGCGGUCAGGCGACUGGCCGGCUCUGUAAACCCCACCUGGAGCAAGACCAAAUAGGGGAGCACAUGCGGUGGCCCGCCGCGCUCCCGGGUGUGGUCGCUAGAGGUGUCAGGCAACUGGCAUCCUAGAUAGAUGACCAUCCACGACAGAACUCGGCUUACAGACCUACUCAUUCA
rfam:Thermosediminibacter oceani DSM 16646, complete genome.